rnacentral:rRNA from 1 species
GACGAACGCUGGCGGCGUGCUUAACACAUGCAAGUCGAACGGAAAGGCCCUGCUUUUGUGGGGUGCUCGAGUGGCGAACGGGUGAGUAACACGUGAGUAACCUGCCCUUGACUUUGGGAUAACUUCAGGAAACUGGGGCUAAUACCGGAUAGGAGCUCCUGCUGCAUGGUGGGGGUUGGAAAGUUUCGGCGGUUGGGGAUGGACUCGCGGCUUAUCAGCUUGUUGGUGGGGUAGGGGCUUACCAAGGCUUUGACGGGUAGCCGGCCUGAGAGGGUGACCGGCCACAUUGGGACUGAGAUACGGCCCAGACUCCUACGGGAGGCAGCAGUGGGGAAUAUUGCACAAUGGGCGGAAGCCUGAUGCAGCAACGCCGCGUGCGGGAUGACGGCCUUCGGUUUGUAAACCGCUUUCGCCUGUGACGAAGCGUGAGUGACGGUAAUGGGUAAAGAAGCACCGGCUAACUACGUG